GCAGCCCUGCUCUGAGCACUCCCUGCACUCCCAGUGCUCCCAGCACUCCCAGUGCUCCUAGCAGGCCCAUUCCCAGCUCUCCCGGCACUCCCAGAAGGCCUGUUCCCAGUGCUCCCAGCGCUCCCAGCAGGCCCAUUCUCGGCACUCCCAGUGUUCCCAGUGCUCCCAGCGCCCCCAGCAGGCCCGUUCCCAAUGCUCCCAGCACUCCCAGUGCUCUCAGUGCUCCCAGCAGGCCUGUUCCCAGUGCUCCCAGCGUUCCCAGUGCUCCCAGCAGGUCUGUUCCCAGCAUUCCCAGCUCUCCCGGCGCUCCCAACAGGCCCGCUCCCAGCGCUCCUGGUGUUCCCAGCAUUCCCAGGUCUGCCAGCAGGCCUGCUCCUGGCAUUCCCAGCUCUCCCAGUGCUCUCAGCAGGCCCGUUCCCAGCUUUUCCAGUGUCCCCAGCAGGCCCGUUCCUAGCAGGCCCAGGUCUCCCAGCAGGCCUGUUCCCAGCAUUCCCAGCUCUCCCGGCGCUCCCAGCAGGCCUGCUCCCAGCACUCCGGGUGUUCCCAGCAUUCCCAGUGCUCCCAGCAGGCCCGUUCCCAGCAGCACAGUUCUCCCAACAGGCCCGUUCCCAGCGCUCCCAGCGUUCCCAGCAGGCCCGUUCGCAGCGCUCCCAGCGUUCCCAGCUCUCCCAGCGCUCCCAGCAGGCCCAGCAUUCCCGGCGCUCCGGGCGCUCCGGGCGGGGCGCACCGACGACGCGGAGGCGCAGGCUGGCCGUGUCCUCCAUGUUCUCGAUGCGCACGCUCAGCUCGUACUGGCCCGAGUGCUGCCGCCCGGCCGCCCGGAUGAAGAACACCGUGUCCAGCUCCGACGUGCGGAUGUUCACGUCCUCGGCCAGCGGCUGCCCCUCCUUGCUCCAGGUCACCUGCGGCCGCGGCUUCCCCUGCGCGUCGUCCCCCCCGGCAGCGUCACCCCCUGCUCCGGUGACCUCCGAGGGGUCCCGGGGGCUGCCGGUGUCCCCAAAAGUGCUCCGGGGGCCACCGGCAUCCCCAAAGGUGCUCCAAGGGAUCGUGGGUGUCCCCAAAAGUGCCCCAAGGGCCACAAGGGUCCUCAAAGGGGCCCCAAGGGAUCGUGGGUGUCCCCAAAAGUGCCCCAAGGGCCACCGGCAUCCCCAAAGGUGCUCCAAGGGAUCACGGGUGUCCCCAAAAGUGCCCCAGGGGC
rnacentral:lncRNA from 1 species